AUUGUAGUCUGCAACCCGACUACAUGAAGCUGGAAUCGCUAGUAAUCGCGGAUCAGAAUGCCGCGGUGAAUACGUUCCCGGGUCUUGUACACACCGCCCGUCACACCAUGGGAGUCGGAAAUGCCCGAAGUCGGUGACCGAACCGAAAGGAAGGAGCCGCCGAAGGCAGGUCUGGUGACUGGGGUGAAGUCGUAACAAGGUAGC
rnacentral:rRNA from 1 species